rnacentral:rRNA from 1 species
AUUGAACGCUGGCGGCAUGCUUUACACAUGCCAGUCGAACGGCAGCGCGGGCUUCGGCCUGGCGGCGAGUGGCGAACGGGUGAGUAAUACAUCGGAACGUGCCCAGUAGUGGGGGAUAGCUCGGCGAAAGCCGGAUUAAUACCGCAUACGACCUGAGGGUGAAAGCGGGGGAUCUUCGGACCUCGCGCUAUUGGAGCGGCCGAUGGCAGAUUUGCUCGUUGGUGGGGUAAAGGCCUACCAAGGCGACGAUCUGUAGCUGGUCUGAGAGGACGACCAGCCACACUGGGACUGAGACACGGCCCAGACUCCUACGGGAGGCAGCAGUGGGGAAUGUUGGACAAUGGGCGAAAGCCUGAUCCAGCAAUGCCGCGUGUGUGAUGAAGGCCUUCGGGUUGUAAAGCACUUUUGGCGGGAACGAAAAGGACUGUGCCAAUACCACGGUUGGAUGACGGUACCCGCAGAAUAAGCACCGGCUAACUACGUG